AGAUGCCCCUCCUGUCAAAAAUAACGAUUUAUCGAUACCACGCCCCAUGCCCCCCUGAUAUGAUCCGAUUUUCUAUGAUAUCCAUACAGUCAAGAUUUGAUUGAUUAGUUUUACCUUUUGGACUCUGCUAUGGUUUGGUUGGUGAGGGAGAAGGGUAUGGGGAAAGGGUGGGGGUUGUGGCUGCUGCAGACAUCAUGUUCAUCAGGGAGGGGGGGAGUACCCCCGUCACUUAGUUUUUAGAGUGUGGGAUGUGGCAGGACAGGUGUGGGUAGCCUGUGGAGCGCGGGUCCUGUGGUAAACGGUAAAUUUCCCACAAGGAUAAUGUUUUAUGUCUUUUCUUUCUCUGAAUACAGCCACAGCCCUAAAGUGUUUCAACAAACAACUUGAUUAGAGUCUAUUUCAUAAUAUUACUCGCAUUUUAAGCCUUUAAAAAGGGGUUUAAGUGGAGAUUGCACACGUUAGAUACCAUAUAAGUGUGUAUAAAACAUAUUGAAUAAUUACACUGAUCUUCAUAAAAUGUAUUAAAAAUAUUUUUAGCUAAAGCUUACAUUGACAUCACGUGUUGGUACAAAUGGAUGUUUAUGGUGUGCUCUAGCUUCUGUGAAUCCAUGCAGAAGGCACAGGCAUCCCUGCUUUUCCAACGGUGCGAGUGCGCUGAUGGUUUGAAGGCACAGGCAUCCCUGCUUUUCCAACGGUGCGAGUGCGCUGAUGGUUUGAAGGCACAGGCAUCCCUGCUUUUCCAACGGGGCGAGUGCGCUGAUGGUUUUAUAAAUGAAAAGAUAAUAGGGAUAAUAGGGUUUUUUUUUUUAUACACCCCAUGUCAGAAAGAAAACAUGGGGAUACUAGCUACUUCAUUUUUAAGUCUUUAAAAAGGUUUAAAAUUGUGCACGUUAGGUGCUAUAUAGAUGUGUUUGGUAUCUAUAGGUUGCAAAAUAUUUGAACGAGGUCAAAAUCUUAUUGAAUAAUUAUACAGGAUUUUGUAAAGCAGUGUAUUUCAAACUACUGUUUAUAACUAAAUAUUUUAUUUUUCAUUGAGACACCGCCCUAAAAGUGUCAAGGGUGGGGGUUUGGGGUUACACACCAUCCAUAAAUUAGGCCCCAGGACCCUUUACUUUGGAGAGAAGCAAGAAUGGCUGGAGUCGACUUUUACUCUGCAUCAUGUGAGUACCCACAUUUAUUUGAGGUUCUUUUUCUAAUUCUCUGAAAUAAAUACACUUAACGCAAAAGCCUGUUAAAGCUAAAGUUUUUUAAAAGUUUUUUUUUUAAACAGAUACGCCCAGCACUCAAGUCAUGAACGAAGUUCUAGAGAUCUUGACAACUGAUGAAGAGCUGGUGCCAAGUCUACCAACGAAUCCACAAACACCAGAGCAAGUGCGGAUCAAUCCUGCCGAGGAGAGCGCAAGCUUAUCGACACCUACACUUAUUUGGCCAGAAGAACCAGAAAAAACUUUUGAAGAGGGGAAAAAGUC